rnacentral:rRNA from 1 species
GACGAACGCUGGCGGCGUGCUUAACACAUGCAAGUCGAACGGAAAGGCCCUGCUUUUGUGGGGUGCUCGAGUGGCGAACGGGUGAGUAACACGUGAGUAACCUGCCCUUGACUUUGGGAUAACUUCAGGAAACUGGGGCUAAUACCGGAUAGGAGCUCCUGCUGCAUGGUGGGGGUUGGAAAGUUUCGGCGGUUGGGGAUGGACUCGCGGCUUAUCAGCUUGUUGGUGGGGUAGUGGCUUACCAAGGCUUUGACGGGUAGCCGGCCUGAGAGGGUGACCGGCCACAUUGGGACUGAGAUACGGCCCAGACUCCUACGGGAGGCAGCAGUGGGGAAUAUUGCACAAUGGGCGGAAGCCUGAUGCAGCAACGCCGCGUGCGGGAUGACGGCCUUCGGGUUGUAAACCGCUUUCGCCUGUGACGAAGCGUGAGUGACGGUAAUGGGUAAAGAAGCACCGGCUAACUACGUGCCAGCAGCCGCGGUGAUACGUAGGGUGCGAGCGUUGUCCGGAUUUAUUGGGCGUAAAGGGCUCGUAGGUGGUUGAUCGCGUCGGAAGUGUAAUCUUGGGGCUUAACCCUGAGCGUGCUUUCGAUACGGGUUGACUUGAGGAAGGUAGGGGAGAAUGGAAUUCCUGGUGGAGCGGUGGAAUGCGCAGAUAUCAGGAGGAACACCAGUGGCGAAGGCGGUUCUCUGGGCCUUUCCUGACGCUGAGGAGCGAAAGCGUGGGGAGCGAACAGGCUUAGAUACCCUGGUAGUCCACGCUGUAAACGGUGGGUACUAGGUGUGGGGUCCAUUCCACGGGUUCCGUGCCGUAGCUAACGCUUUAAGUACCCCGCCUGGGGAGUACGGCCGCAAGGCUAAAACUCAAAGGAAUUGACGGGGCCCCGCACAAGCGGCGGAGCAUGCGGAUUAAUUCGAUGCAACGCGUAGAACCUUACCUGGGUUUGACAUGGGUCGGGAGUGCUCAGAGAUGGGUGUGCCUCUUUUGGGGUCGGUUCACAGGUGGUGCAUGGCUGUCGUCAGCUCGUGUCGUGAGAUGUUGGGUUAAGUCCCGCAACGAGCGCAACCCUUGUUCACUGUUGCCAGCACGUUAUGGUGGGGACUCAGUGUAGACCGCCGGGGUCAACUCGGAGGAAGGUGGGGAUGACGUCAAGUCAUCAUGCCCCUUAUGUCCAGGGCUUCACGCAUGCUACAAUGGCUGGUACAGAGAGUGGCGAGCCUGUGAGGGUGAGCGAAUCUCGGAAAGCCGGUCUCAGUUCGGAUUGGGGUCUGCAACUCGACCUCAUGAAGUCGGAGUCGCUAGUAAUCGCAGAUCAGCAACGCUGCGGUGAAUACGUUCCCGGG